AUUGCUGGCUGCUCAUCCAACGGCCACCGCGCCAAAUGCCUUACAGACCCGGUGGCCCUGGAAUCGAUUCUGUAACACUACUCCUUGUGUGACCGUGGACAAGUCACUCGGUCUCUGAGCCUUCUUCAUCUGUAAAUAAGAGAGCGAGGCUAGAGAAGCCCAGAGCCAGAGUUUAGAAACCGAGUGCGAGGACACCUGCCCUCUUGGUGUGCACUGUGGAGCGCUGAGAAACGGCUCCAAUAACGCCCCGACACUCUUCGCUCCUACCAGUUUGGGGACAUGAAAAGAAUACGUUUUACAAAUUGGGGAACGGUUCAUAUUUACAUGACUUACCGCGGUCACACAGGUCUUCAGCAGAACUUGGUUCAAACUCUGGCAGUGCAUGUUUCAGUAUAACCUGCCUCAUCAUUACCCAGUGCUUUCAGAUGUGUUCUCUCACUCUGGUUUUUCACAAGCUGGUGAAGUAGGUUGGACGGAUACUCAUUGUUCCCAUCCCAUGCCUUAGGAAAUAAAGCACCGAAAGGGUGAAUGAUAGUGUAUAAUUUUUUGUUCACAACUCGUCCAACAGAGCUGGGUCUAGAAAUCAGAUCUUACCGACUUGAAGCUGUCUUUUGGAAUUAAGAAUAACACCUGUAUCUGGGCAGGUGAGGGAGGACCCCUCCAAAAUGAG
rnacentral:lncRNA from 1 species